GGCGGCGCGAGCGUCAGGGCGCCGCGCGCGUGACAGCGUCACGGCGUGACGGCGUGACGGCGUGAACCUUGCGGGACCCGUGCCACUGCACCAGCCCCGGGCAGCAAGGCGGCUGGGCGGCCCGGUUGCAGACCCGGUUGCAGACCCGGUUGCAGAACCGGUUGCAGAACCGGCCCGGCCAUGGCGGUGGGCUGCGGGACCAAGUGUGCCAAGAGCAUCCUCAUCUCCUUCAACAUGCUGUUCUGGCUCUCGGGGGGCACCCUGCUGGUGCUCGGCGCGUGGGUCUUCCUGGACCCGGCCAAGGCGCACCUGUUCCACCUGGUGUCCGCGUCGCAGGCCAAGCGUGACGUCAUCUACUACCUGGCCUACGCGCUGCUGGCCAUCGGGGGCUCCAUCUUGGUGAUCGGCUUCUGCGGCUGCUGCGGCGCGCUGCACGAGCGACGCUGCAUGAUCGGCACGUACGUCGUGUUCCUGCUGUUCCUGGUGGCGGUCGAGAUGGGCGUCGCCGUGAUCACGUUCGUCUUCCGGGAGGAGUUCAUGGAGGGGCUGGAGGCGCGCCUCAGCGACCAGCUCGUCAACAAGUACGGCCUGGACAUCGCCAACCACUACGAGAGCAACAACGUCGCCAACAAGGACUUCACCACGUCGGUGGACUUCGCUCAGUACCGGUUCAACUGCUGCGGCAUGCGCAACGACUCGGACUACCAGCAGACCAAGUGGUGGGCGCGCGGCCGCGAGAAGGCGGGGCAAGCCGAGCGGCCGAGGAACGUGCCGCUCACCUGCUGCGUGCUCUCCAACUCGGAAGUGUCACAGACUGGAAGUCCCAUUAGCGUAGUUUCGCGGUCUUUCCACGGAACCACUGAAGAGCCGUGGCAGAGCCCGCAGCCCAAGCAGGAGCAGGCGUGCCAGGACGACAACCCCCGGGUCCACGAGCGCCUCCGCUACAAGCAGGGCUGCCUGCUGGAGCUGGUGCUGUGGUUCCGCCGCGAGAGCACCGUGCUCGUGGCCUGCUGCACGUCCAUCGCGGGGCUGCAGCUGCUGGGCGUGGUGCUCUCCCUCUGCCUGUGCCGCAACAUCGCCGAGGACGCGUCGGCCUAGCGGAUCGCCGCGGACGCCGAUGUGGAGCAGUCCCGCCACCAGUACCCGAUGCGGCACUUGGGCCCCGACUGAACCAUCAACCAUCGUGCGUCCGCGCCUUUGUCCGCGCCCUUGUCCGCGCCUCGGCUGGAGCCUGGAGCCUCGAGGGCCGGGGCCGGCCUCCCCGACAGAGACUAGAGACUCCACCAUCAAGUGCCAGAAUGAGGAAGGGCGCCGUGCGCGCUCCCCUAAAUCUUUCUCUGGAUUUGGCCCUUUUCUUUUAACGUUUGAGCAUCAACAACCGUUUCCUCUCGCCGCCGAGGAUAGGCUCAGGUGCGCAUCCAGCAUCCAGGACUCUUGGUGGCGCUUAUUGCCCAUUGGCAGGGGCAAACUAGUGCACAGAUUUGUGCCUACCUUCAGGCGGUCUGUCCAGUACCCAAGGAGGGGGUAAUCACCCCAAUGAAAGCUGCCUGGAUCCGCGCCUGGACAGGCUUGUCCUCUCAUUCUCUUUGGCCCCACAAUGAUCGCCGUGUCCGCAGCCAACCAGUCCGUCGUCCCGUCGUCUUUGGGAAGUCCUGGGACUGAGAGAAGCUCGCCGUCGUCGAGCCACCUACUCUUUCAUCGAGUGUCAACAUCAUUUUCCUGUGAUCUAUCAUUUAAAAAAAAAACUUUUUUUCGUCCAUGUCUCGGUACGUCCUUUGUAGGAGAUUCGUGUUAGUGAGUGAAAGAAUGAGUGAGUGAUUAUUGUUAGCAUUAAGAUUAUGAAUUUGAAUUGAACAAUGUGAUAGGCAAAUAAUCAAUGAUCCAAUCUUCUCAGGCUUCACGCCUCUGAUGAUUAUGAUCGGACUGCUGCACAAACACCACCCACCAAAACAGUUGGCCCACUAGCACUCUUUGUGGGGUAUAGUGGUGCACUCAAUGCUAGAUUUGUAGACGGAACUUUGUGAGUCGGCGUUGGG
rnacentral:misc_RNA from 1 species